GAGAGAGGUGCUUGUGGUUUCCGGGAUCUCCAAAUAAAGAGGUCUUCAGAGGGAUGGAGACUGAGGGAGAUGGCAGAAGGGGUGGAGAGAAGGAGUAGAGAGAUGCAUAAAGAGAGAGAGGAAGAUGGACAGAGGCAGCCUGUUACAGCAGAGAAGCUGGCUGAUGCUGCCCCUGCGUGCUGUCAGUGCAGCAGUGAGCUGCUAGCAGGUGAUGCUGGAAUUCAGAAAAAAACAAGAUGUACAUGUGGCAUUGAACUCUAGGAGCAGAGUUAUCCACAGGAAUCUGGGAUAGGUGGAAGGCAAAACUGAAAAAGAGAGGAUGUAAGAAAGAAUGGGCAAACUCAACCAUUUCCUAAUGCUUGUGAAAGGCCUUCUUGAACUUGCAUGCUAGGUUAUAGAGUGAAAUCCCUUUAAAUAUGAGGAACAUUCUUGGUUAGGCAUGAACUGAUCCCCAUUAUCCAAAAAUGGGAAAAUAGAGGACUCUAUAGAAUAGCUGACCUGAUAGUGGGAGGUAAAAUAAUGAGCUACACACAACUACAAGCAAAAUUGCAGCCAAUCAAAUUAGAAUGGUUUUUAUACUUGCAACUUAGCUCCAUCAUUCACCCUAUCUUGCCAUCCAUAUCUAAAAAUGUAUCCUCUAUACUAGAGAACAUAUGCAGCACCUCAUCCAGGCCCAAGAACACCAUCUCUAGGCUAUACCAAGCAAUCCAGCUAGCAUCAGACAAUGUUAAAUCCACCCUACAAACUAAAUGGGAAAGGGAUAUCAAUAGGGAGGUGGAGACUCGAGAGUGGCAUGUAACUCUAUCUAGUGCAGGGAAGGGACUCUUAAGUGCAGAUAUGUGGGAAAACUGCAUUAAGACCAACUUUCGUUGGUAUCUAACACCGCUGAUAACCUCACACUCCACCAAAGAUAGAUCUAGACUCUGUUAUAGAGGCUGUGGGGAGGUAGGGGACUAUAAACAUAUGUGGUGGGACUGCUCACAUACACGCAGGGUGUGGAACCAGCUAUCGCGGUUCUUAAGCUCUAUCAUAGACAGCCCUAUUAAGCUUACUAUGGAACAAGCUUUACUCCACGUCAGACUUAAAGAAUUCAAUAAAUACAUUAAUUUAUUUAUUAGGAUAUCGUGUACAGCCACGAGGAUAUGCAUAGCCCGCCAUUGGAGGGAGAGCGCCCCGUCCUGGGAAGAGAUCAAACUAAAAAUUUAAUUUUAUUAUAACAUGUCAGAGCAGGCAGCAUUUCUUCUAGAUACUCAAGAAACCUUCCAGAAAGUAUGGUACUACUGGAUAUUACACAAUGUGUCCUAACACACUAGACUAGUCCAAUAGAGCCCCCCACUUGGAUUGUCCUAAUAUUUGAAUUUUAAAAUACCCAAACACGACAGAUAAAAUUUAGAUCAAUAGGAGACAUACUAAUUCCACAUAUAACAAACUUCCGAAUAAAGCGGAGUAAAAUGGUCAGGAGAUACCCCUUCAUCUACACCUUACCUCUCUCUCUCUCUCUUUGCUCUACCUAACUCUUUUCCCCUUCACUAUUUCUUUAAUUUAUUAUUUCUUAUCCUGGUAGUAUGUAACCAAUUUGAGCCUUAAAGCAACACAACGGUAUACAAAGUUACUUUAAUUCCAGCUACAAAAGAAAAUUCUUUACUGUAUUGACUAUUGUUUCACAAAUGUUGGGUGCCAUCAAGCCUUUUUUUUUGUAAGAGUGGCCUUAUAGGUUAUGAUAUAGCGACUGAACGACUCAAUGAUACGUAAUUUGAACUACUUUAUUCACUAUAUAAUUUUGGAAAACCAGGAUUUCUGUUUCUUUGUCCUGUUAAUUUCUUGUUUUAUAUUUUUUUCUGUUAUUAUGCACUUGCUACAAAAAUAAUAAAAAUUACUUUAUCAUAAA